UACGUAGGGUGCGAGCGUUGUCCGGAUUUAUUGGGCGUAAAGGGCUCGUAGGCGGCCUGUCGCGUCGGGAGUGAAAGCCCACUGCUUAACGGUGGGUCUGCUUCCGGUACGGGCGGGCUGGAGUAUGGCAGGGGAGACUGGAAUUCCUGGUGUAGCGGUGAAAUGCGCAGAUAUCAGGAGGAACACCGGCGGCGAAGGCGGGUCUCUGGGCCGAUACUGACGCUGAGGAGCGAAAGCGUGGGGAGCGAACAGG
rnacentral:rRNA from 1 species